AUAUCAGGAUAUUUAUUUAAGGGAGGACAAUUUUUUUUUUAGUGUAGAUUUGUAAAUGUUUUCCCUUCACUCAACAUUCUCUCCCAUGUGCCCGUCACUGCAUGUGGGAAACCUUCGGGCCCUCAGUGAGCUCUCAGGGAUGACAAAACAAAGGCUCAGAGAGUCCAAUUGUCUGAGGUCACGCUGCUGGAAAGUGCUUGUACCUGGGGUUCAAACCUAGAUCUAACUGACCCCAAAGUACAUGUUGGGGGAAAGAGGAUGGAUUUUUACCCUGGAAACACAAGACGAUUGAGUAAUAGGAAGCUGGCGUGUCACUAUCAGAUGGUUUGUCAUGAGGUCACUCCCAACAGUAAGGACUGAAAGAUGCAAGACCAAUUCAGAGACUUUAUGUUCAACUAGGAGAGAAGGCAGUGGCAGUGACUGAAGUGGGGGGAAAGGACUUGAGAUCUUCGGGGAGGUAGAAUUGAAAUACUUGAUGACUGGGUAUGGAGGGAGAAGUGAAGAGGGGAGGCAGAAAUGGCUGCUAGGAUUCUGGCUUUGAGGACCGGAUAGAGAGCGGUGACUUUUUCCCAGAGAGAGAACACAGAAAGAGGAAUAGGUUUGAGGAGGAAGAUAAUCUUUACCCUAUGAAGUGGAACAUCCAAAUGGAGCUCUCCGGGGGAAAGUUGGGUCUAUAGCUCUUUUGACUAUGUCUGUUUUGUGAUAUCCCAAGUUACAUUUUCAAAAAUUACACACAUAUUAAACCCCCCAAAAAGUAAUUGGGGAGAUUUCCUAAAGUUGACAUGCUGAGAAUAUAACAUUUCCUGGUGGUUACUUUCAUAGAACAGCCUGGAAUCUAUGGUUUUAAUAAAUGGUGCAUUUUAUGUAAAAUAAAACUGUUAAAUGAAAAACUAUUUACAAUUGUAUUGUCAUUAGAACAUAUAGAAAGUAAUGAAGCCAUGGGUACAGAAGUGAUUGUCUUGAGAAGAUGUGUAUAAUUUUAAAGAUUUUUUAAAAAGGCAGACUAGGUGAAUAGAUUUAAGUGGCAUUUAAGUGAAACCUGCAAAGGUGAGCAGUGAAGUCCAAGGACCUGAGCACUAAUCAGAAAAGACUGAUUGAUCGGCCCACAGCCGGUGCUUCCUCAGAUCACCUUCCGGUAGGGCUGGAAGAGCCUUUCUCUCCGGCCGAGUGCUCCGUUCAGGAUCCUGGUUUUCUACAGCAGAUGCGGCUCUACCCCUAGCUCCAAAGGCUGUAACCAACCGCCUGUGAUCUGCGCUCCACUAGUUUCAGGAGGGAACUGCCCUCCACACUUGCCCCGGAGACAAACUCACUGCCAAAUCCACUUUGGAACAAGGCAGAGUAUGAAUAAAUACGUUACAUG